GGAGACAGCAUGAAUCUUUCCAAAACAUUUGAAGCCAAACUUGGAGUGUAGAAGGAUUCCGAUCUGAAUUGAAAGCCGAAAGUUGGUCUAACUUUGGUAUCAGAAGAAAGGGCAAAAGAAAGACAUUCAGUUUACUAUCAUUGAAAGAGACCAUCUUGUCAGAGUGCCUUGCUCCAAGGUAAUAAUGCUAGUACAAAAUUUGGUAGAGCAAUCAGGAUCGAAGUAACAGGCACAUGGGAACUUUCCAAAAGCAUUACCAGUGAAAGACAGACAUGUGACAGAAAAAAGACCCAAGGACCGGCUUUUCACAGCUAAGAGCAGCUGUCAUCACAAUGUACAUGGUUUUGUAUAAACAAGACCUUCUAAAUGAGGUAACAACUACCUUUGAACUUGUGAGGUACUGGUCAGAUUAUGCAAGCCAGUGCAACAUUUUGUGGGGAUGUGAGAGAGAAUCAUCAAAUAAAAGAGUUGAAUUUACUCUA
rnacentral:lncRNA from 1 species